GACGAACGCUGGCGGCGUGCUUAACACAUGCAAGUCGAACGAUGAAGAAGAGAAACGCGAACUUCGGUUCAAAUUUCACUUCGGAUUAGUGGCAGACGGGUGAGUAACGCGUGAGCAACCUACCUCUUACAAAGGGAUAGCCUCGGGAAACCGUGAUUAAUACCAUAUGACACAUUCAUAAGGCAUCUUAAGAAUGUUAGAGCUACGGCGGUAAGAGAUGGGCUCGCGUCCCAUUAGCUAGUUGGUGAGGUAACGGCCCACCAAGGCGACGAUGGGUAACCGGGCUGGGAGGGGGAACCGUUACCAUUGAACGUGGACCCGGUCCCAACUCCCACGGGAGGGCGGAGUGGGGAAUAUUGCACAAUGGAGGGAAAUCUGAUGCCGCGACGCCGGGUGAGCGAUGAAGGAAUUCGUUUCCUAAAGCUCUGUUUUAUGGGAAGAAAAGGACUGUACCAUAGGAGAAAGCCCCGGCUAAAUACGUG
rnacentral:rRNA from 1 species